CAUUCACGGAGAGUUUGAUCCUGGCUCAGGACGAACGCUGGCGGCGUGCUUAACACAUGCAAGUCGAACGAUGAACCACUUUCGGGUGGGGAUUAGUGGCGAACGGGUGAGUAACACGUGGGCAAUCUGCCCUUCACUCUGGGACAAGCCCUGGAAACGGGGUCUAAUACCGGAUACUGACCUGCCAAGGCAUCUUGGCGGGUCGAAAGCUCCGGCGGUGAAGGAUGAGCCCGCGGCCUAUCAGCUUGUUGGUGAGGUAAUGGCUCACCAAGGCGACGACGGGUAGCCGGCCUGAGAGGGCGACCGGCCACACUGGGACUGAGACACGGCCCAGACUCCUACGGGAGGCAGCAGUGGGGAAUAUUG
rnacentral:rRNA from 1 species